CCCUGUGUGGCUCAGUUGGUAGAGCAUGGUGUUUGCAAUGCCAGGGUUGUGGGUUUGAUUCCCACGGGGG
rnacentral:tRNA from 1 species